AAGAAGAGCGUCUUCGCCCAGAAGACGAAGAACGUCAGCACCGUCUUCCACACCGUCCACGGCGCCUCGGCGAUGUGGAGCCGCGGGAAGACGUCCCAGCCGCCCCAGAACAGCGUCACCAUCAGGCCCGACGCCGUCAGCAUGUUCGCGUACUCGGCGAUGAAGAACGCAG
rnacentral:misc_RNA from 1 species